GACGAAGGGGGCUAGCGUUGUUCGGAAUUACUGGGCGUAAAGGGCGCGUAGGCGGCGCUGUAAGUGAGAUGUGAAAGACCUGGGCUUAACCUGGGAAGUGCAUUUCAGACUGCAGUGCUAGAGUGCGAGAGAGGAAAGUGGAAUGACGAGUGUAGAGGUGAAAUUCGUAGAUAUUCGUUGGAACACCGGUGGCGAAGGCGACUUUCUGGCUCGCAACUGACGCUAAGGCGCGAAAGCGUGGGGAGCAGACAG
rnacentral:rRNA from 1 species